GGACUUCACAUGGCUGGCUUUGAAGAUGGAAGGAAUGGACUGGGAGCCAGGGAAUGUGGCAGCCUCUAGAAGCUGGGAAUGGGCCUCAGGGUACAGGAAGCAAGACGACGAGGCUUUGCUGGGAAGAUGGCGUGGCUGGGUGCAGAGAGGCUGGGGCUGCGGACAGGCAUGGGCUGCACUGGCAGGAAGCCGCAGCUGCAAGGAGCUCACCGAGGGCCUGGCCCCACUGCAGCUACACGGGCACAGGUUUAACUUAAAGAAAAAGAAGAGAAAAGAAAAGACGAUGAGACUUUUACUGAGACAUAACUGACAUGCAGCACUGCAUAAGUUUAAGGUGUGAUGCAUAAUGCUUUGAAUUCCAUACAUCAUGAAUGAUUAUCACGGUCUUCAGACUUGAAUGGGGUUGUGGAAAAGAUGGCUAUUACCUGGCAGAAGUCAAGGAAGCUGAGACUCACUUCAGAAGCUGAAGCCUGAAAGUGCAGCUUCGGGAAAUGUGAUGGGAGUCUGGAAAAUGAGGUUCCUUGUCAUUUUAUUUUUUUGACAUGUUUAAAAAAAGUUAUUGAAGUAUAUAGUUGAUUUACAAUGUCGUGUUAAUUUCUAUUGCACAGCAAAGUGAUUCAGUAUCUUUUUCACCAUAUUUUCCAUUAUGGUUUAUCACAGUAUAUCGAAUAUAAUUCUCUCGCUAUACAGAAGGAUCUUAUCUAUUCUAUAUAUAGUAGUUUGCAUCUUUUAGUCACAAACUCCCAAUCCAUCCCUCCCUCCACCCUGACCCUUGGCAACCACAAGUCUGUUCUCUAUCUCUGUGAGUCUAUUUCUGUUGUGUAGAUAAGUUCAUUUGUGUCAUAUUUUAGAUUCCACAUAUAAGUGCUAUGCUAUGGUAUUUGACUUGAACUUUCUGACUUCAUUAGUAUGAUAAUCUCUGGGUCUGUCCAUGCUAUUGUAAAUGGCAUUAUUUCAUUCUUUUUUAUGGCUGAGUAGUAUUUCAUUGUAUAUAUGUACCAACUCUUCUUUAUCCAUUCAUCUAUUGAUGGACAUUGCGUUUGUUUUAUGUCUUGUCUGUUAUGAACGGUGCUGCUAUGAAAAUAAGGGUGCACAUAUCUAAUCAAAUUAUAGUUUUGUCCAGAUAAAUGCCCACAAGUGGGAUUGCUGGAUUAUACAGCAACUAUGUUUUUUGUUUUUUGAGGAACCUCUAUACUGUUCUCUAUAGUGGCUGCACUUUGCCACUUUAAAUAAAGAAGCUCCAAAUGGCCUGGCAUGAUUUCAUUUCAUAGGUAGUGGAGAUCCUUGUGGAGGGGAAUAAGUUAGGAAAAACAACCAAAAUACUGGAGCAUGGCAGAGGAAGGACCAGCAGUUAUAGCGAGCAUCUCAUACUUUUCCUUUAAAGAGAUGAUGGAGUCUCCGCUGCUCCUCAGGCUACGCACUUAGAGUCGCACAUCUACUAAGAGACUACUGCGCUGCAGGGCUUCCUUUCCAGUGUAUCUCUGGAGGUACUGCUGAGGUCAAACCUACAUGUUUGACAGCUCUCUUUCCUCCUUGCCCUCGAAGAGAUUUCGUAUCCCAAAAUGCACUCAGUGGAAUAUUUAUAGGUGUUGGGCGAAAAGAAGUUCUACUAUCGACCAAGUGGGUUAACAAAGAUAAACAAGUUUCUUUAUAGCAGGUUUCCUCAGAUCUUUUAAUUAGUGUGCAUUGCGAAUCUGGCAGAAGUUAAGGAAGCUGAGACUCACUUCAGAAGCUGAAGCCUGAAAGUGCAGCUUUCAGAUAUAGUCUGAAGCAUUUUUCCAAAACCUUUUGACCACAUUCCCUGUAUUAGUCAGGAUUCUCUUGGUUUUUAAGUGACAGAAAUCCAGCUUCAAUAGGCAUAAGCCAUAAAGGGAACUUAUUGGCUCACAGAACCAAGAAGCUAAGGUAUGGCUGAAUGUGGAGUCCUCAAAGGAUGCUACCAGCGUCCCCCUUUCUGUCUCUUGGCUCAGCUUUCCUCUAGGUUGGCUUUGUUCUCAUGAAGUCUUUAUGUGGUAGUCCCUGGCAGCUCCAGGCUUACGUUAUAGUUAUAAAUUCCACUUUGGAAAACUAGGGAACAGAACUUAUUUAAGUGAAUUGUUUUGAAUUUAGAAGUAUUUAAAUCGUAAGCAAUUAAGUUACAAUAAUGAGAUAUAAAAUGCAAUUUCUGAAGAUCUUAUUUUUUUUUUUUUAUAAAAAUCUUGAUGGCAACCUAUGGUAUGGGUGCAUGCUGGUUUAAGAUAUAAUGAAACUGCCUAAUGGGAACUGUCGCUCACAAAAAUUAAUGUGUUUGGGAACUCACUUUGCUUCCCAAUUCCCUGAAUUCUUGUAUCCCAAAUUAGUGCUU
rnacentral:lncRNA from 1 species